UUCCUGCUGUCCCUAAUGGAGGAAAUAAGGUUCAGAAAAGGCAGAAGGAAGCUGCUAUCUCUCAUGGAGGAAAGAAGGUUCAGAAAAGGCAGAAGGAAGCUGAAGUAGCUCACAUGAUGGAGAAGUAUCUGGAAGUAAAAACUAAGCAAGUUGAAGGUGAGGUUGCAGAGAAAUCAAGGGCAGGAUCAGGAGCGGAUGAGUACUCCAUCAAGCAAUGCAUUAGUGUCAUCAGCACCAUGGUAGAACUCACCGGCGAAGAAAAGGCUGAAGCUUUUGAUGUUUUCAAAGAUGCUCAGAACCGGGAAAUCUUCAUGAAUGCAGAUUCACCAACACGUCUGAUUUGGAUAAGGAAGAAAUGUAUGCAGACAUGAGGGAAACAAUACUGAGUUUUGAGUGAGAGGUCUGAGGAGGUCGAGUUAUGAAAGACACCCUGCAACAUUUACCCAUGAAAAAAAUAGUUGAAUGUUCAGUCUUGUAGUUUUUAGAUUUAAAUUUCUAGAAUAUUUGAUAAUGAUAUUGGAGAGAGAUAACAAUAUCCAUAUAGUCUAGCACGUUAAAACUAUUAUUUUAUAUCCAGAUAAAAGAACAUGUGCGCUGCCUGUAUCCGACAUGGACCGGCAUGAUAAGUUGUUCUAUAUCUAGAUGUUUCUUGCUGGAUUGGAUUAAAUGGAGCUUAUCCAACACAUUUCAGAUUAGUAA